UACGGAGGGUGCAAGCGUUGCUCGGAAUCAUUGGGCGUAAAGCGCACGUAGGCGGUCCGGUAAGUCGGGGGUGAAAUCCCUCGGCUUAACCGAGGAAGUGCAUUCGAAACGUCCGGACUGGAAUAUGGAAGAGGGUCGCGGAAUUCCCGGUGUAGAGGUGAAAUGCGCAGAUAUCAGGAGGAACACCAAAUGCGAAGGCAGCGCGCUGGGACGUUACUGACGCUGAAACGCGAAAGCGUGGGGAGCAAACAGG
rnacentral:rRNA from 1 species